CCCGCCGCCACUCUCUCAUCGGGAUCCUCCCAGAUCCCCUCCCGAUCCAAAAAUCCUCCCAGAUCCCCUCCUCACCCUUUCCACCUACAGGCCAUCGUUCCUUGCCUCGAGCCAGGAGCUCGUCCUCGACCCCGAUCCACUUCUCCCGCAGGCACCGAAGUCACCGACCAGGCCGCCCCAUACCCUUCCUGUUUUUCUUCCCAUCUUCUUUUAUUCUCUGAUCUCUCUCACGCGCAAGCCUCUCUUUUUCCCCUUGCAGCAGAGUCAGCCAUGGACGACCCCAUCCUGCCGUCGCUUCAUCUGGACGGGAACCAGCCUCCCCAACCGGCGCCAUGCCCGCGCCUCCCGAGGAGUUCGUCGUCGCCCCGUUCCCUGCUAGGAGCGCUGCCGCCUGCCUCCGUCGCCACCAACAAGGAGCACCAACGCGGCGCCGCCUUGACCGCGCUUCUCCUCCUCAAGUUUCAUUGGCAAACCACGCUGGAGACGAGAGCCUCCAGUAGGACCCCGACGAGCACGUGCCAAGUCCCUGUAUCGCCGGAGAGAGUCAUCGCGCCAGUCCGCCAAGUCCCUCUAUAGCUCUGCCCGUCGCCGUUGGUGCCUUGCUUCGUCUGAACCUUCCUCCCCGCCGCCAAGUCCUGCUGCAGCCGCCUUGCCCUGCGUCGCGUCUGUCCAGAUCCGGCGCUGGCUCGGCAUCGUCAACCUCCCAGCCGCGUGCCCGCAAGCUCGCCAAGACCUGUCGCUGACAUUCAUCGUCAGGACUGAGCAGAGUGCAGCGCCCCUGCCGCGUUGACCGAUUCCAGUUGAGCCGCUCGCCCCAGCGCCCCAUCGACCGCCCGCACGUGCGUGGUCUGGCCCAUCGCUCCAGUUGGCCACGGUGAGGCCAACCCCAAUGCGGCCUGGCAUGCUUCCCCUCCUACCGGGCCGAAGCCCGUGAGUGAGCAGCCCCCGCUCCUGUUGCUUGUUGGGCCAGCCUCUAUUUUGGCCCAUGUCAUGUUUUUCUCCUCUAGAUGAUUUUGUCUAUUAUUCCAGAGAACGCCCGUUUUGCAGCAAAGUCCCUAAACAUCAUGCAUUUAAUAACUAAUUAACCGUGCAUCGGAUUAAAACAAUUUAUAUAUGAAAUAUGCUUAGUUUUUCAUCUAGUCUCAUAAUAUGUCAUUUUCAUCCAUGUUUAAAAUGCUUAAAAUGUUGUUUGUUCAAAUUUGCUCAAAUAACUUGUUAAAAUGUUUUCUCUCAUAACUAAAUAACCGUAGCUCGGUUUUUAAUAAACUUUAUAUGUAGAUGGGGUAGAAUUUUGCCUAGUUUAACAUGGUGGCAUCACUUUGCAUGUUUAAUAACUCUAAAAUUAUGUUUAGGGCAGAAUAGUACCAAACCUAGCAUAUGAGGAGUUUCCGGAAUUGUUGUUCGUUGUUUCCGGCCUCAUUUAAACUUGACUAGGUAGGUAGUUUUCCUAUGCUCCACCUCUUGCCAUGUCUAAUAACAUUUAAUAUUGAUGGGUACAUAAACGAGAUCGAACUAAGUAACUCGAAUGUGGUGUUUCGUCAAUAUGCAUCCCGUUGCAUAUGAGCUCCACUUAAUUGUAGUGUUGUUUGUUGCACUUUGCCAUGCCAUGUUUUCAUUAAACCGGACAUGCAUCAUACUUGGUUGUGCACCAUGUCAUGCUUAUGUGGUAGUUGUUUACCAUGAUUGUUUGCUUCUUUCCGGUGUGCUUCUUCAGGUUGGUUCCGAUAACGUCGCGUUUGUGAGGAUCUGUUCGACAACGUCCGUUUGUCUUCUUCAUGGACUCGUUCUUCUUCCUUGCGGGAUUUCAGGCAAGAUGACCAUACCCUUGAAAUCACUUCUAUCUUUGCUUGCUAGUUGCUCGCUCUUUUGCUAUGCCUAUGCUGCGAUACCUACCACUUGCUUAUCAUGCCACCCAUAUUGUUGAACCAAGCCUCUAACCCACCUUGUCCUAGCAAACUGUUGUUUGGCUAUGAUACCGCUUUGCUCAGCCCCUCUUAUAGCGUUGUUAGUUGCAGGUGAAGAUUGAAGUUUGUUCCUUGUUGGAACAUGGAGAUGUUGUUCCUUGUUGAAACAUGUUUACUUGUUGGGAUAUCACAAUAUAUCUUAUUUAAUUAAUGCAUCUAUAUACUUGGUAAAGGGUGGAAGGCUCGGCCUUAUGCCUAGUGUUUUGUUCCACUCUUGCUGCCCUAGUUUCCGUCAUAUCGGUGUUAUGUUCCCGGAUUUUGCGUUCCUUACGCGGUUGGGCUAUAAUGGGAACCCCUUGACAGUUCGCCUUGAAUAAAACUCUUCCAGCAAUGCCCAACAUUGGUUUUACCAUUCGCCACCUAGCCUCUUUUUCCCUUGGGUUCCGCGGACUCAAGGGUCAUCUUAUUUUAACUCCCCCGGGUCAGUGCUCCUCUGAGUGUUGGUCCAAACUAGAGUCCUGUGCAGCGCCCCCUCGGGGAAACUCGAGGUUUGGUUUUAGUUGUAUGGAGCGCUCAUCUGAGUGUGCCCUAAGAACGAGAUAUGUGUAGCUCCUAUUGGGAUUUGUCGGCACAUUCGGGUGGUGUUGCUGGAUUUGUUUUACCUUGUCGAAAUGUCUUGUAACCGGGAUUCCGAGUCUGAUCGGGUCUUCCCGCCAGAAGGAAUAUCCUUCGUUGACCGUGAGAGCUUGUCAUGGGCUAAGUUGGGACUCCCCUGCAGGGAUUUGAACUUUCGAAAGCCGUGCCCGCGGUUAUGGGCAGAUGGGAAUUUGUUAAUGUCCGGUUGUAGAUAACUUGAACCUUAACUUAAUUAAAAUAAAUCAACUGUGUGUGUUACCGUGAUGGUCUCUUCUCGGCGGGGUCCGGGAAGUGAACAUGGUGUCGGAGUAAUGAUUGACGUAGGUUGUUCUCUAGUUCUUCGUUCGUGCUUUGCCUUCUCUUCUCGCUCUCUUUUGCGAACAGGUUAGCCACCAUAUAUGCUAGUCGCUUGCUGCAGCUCCACCUCAUACUUUUACCUUACCCAUAAGCUUAAAUAGUCUUGAUCGCGAGGGUGCAAGAUUGCUGAGUCCCCGUGACUCAUAGAUACUUCCAAAACCAACUUGCAGGUGCCGAUGAGUCCGCGCAGACGACGCAACCAAGCUUAGGAGGAGCUCGAUGAAGAUCUUGUCUUUUGUCUUGUUUCGUUUCUAGUUGAUCAGUAGUGGAGCCCAGUUGGGGUCGAUCGGGGGACCUUGUCGCAUUUGGGGUUCUUCUUUUAUUUUGGUUCCGUAGUCGGACCUUGAUUGUAUUUGGAUGUUGUAAUGUUGUAUUCAUGUAUUUGUGUGAAGUGGCGAUUGUAAGCCAACUAUGUAUCUUUUCCCCUAUUGUAUUAC
rnacentral:rRNA from 1 species